rnacentral:lncRNA from 1 species
AUCACCUUCCUCCCCAUUAUACACAAACUCAUAAAAAGCGCGAUUCGAUUACCAUAAAAAGAGGGGCCGCGGAGCGGCAGGGAUUCAAAGCCACACACGGCCAGUCCCGAAAUACAAAACAAGGCCAUUCAAGGCCGACACAUAAAAACAUAAAAAAAAUCUCUCGCAAGAGAUCUAACCCAAGUCAUCCUCAUAACUCACGCCCCAUCUUCACCCGCUGCCUCGUCCGAGCCUUGAGCCGCAUCACCUCCG